UACAGAGGUCUCAAGCGUUGUUCGGAUUCAUUGGGCGUAAAGGGUGUGUAGGUGGCGCGCUAAGUCGGGUGUGAAAUUUCGGAGCUUAACUCCGAAACUGCAUUCGAUACUGGCGUGCUUGAGGACUGGAGAGGAGACUGGAAUUCAUGGUGUAGCAGUGAAAUGCGUAGAGAUGUGGAGGAACACCGAUGGCGAAGGCAGCCUCCUGGGCCAGCACUGACGCUCAUGCACGAAAGCGUGGGGAGCAAACAGG
rnacentral:rRNA from 1 species